AAAAAAGGAAAAUGUACUGCCCCUAGCCAGAUUUUCUUUGUCCUGUCAGAAAAAAUGACAGGACAAAGAAAAUCUGGCUAGGGGUAGUAAAAAAAAAAAAAAA
rnacentral:pre_miRNA from 13 species